rnacentral:rRNA from 1 species
GGCGAGCGGCGGACGGGUGAGUAAUGUCUGGGAAACUGCCUGAUGGAGGGGGAUAACUACUGGAAACGGUAGCUAAUACCGCAUGACCUCGCAAGAGCAAAGUGGGGGACCUUCGGGCCUCACGCCAUCGGAUGUGCCCAGAUGGGAUUAGCUAGUAGGUGGGGUAAUGGCUCACCUAGGCGACGAUCCCUAGCUGGUCUGAGAGGAUGACCAGCCACACUGGAACUGAGACACGGUCCAGACUCCUACGGGAGGCAGCAGUGGGGAAUAUUGCACAAUGGGCGCAAGCCUGAUGCAGCCAUGCCGCGUGUGUGAAGAAGGCCUUAGGGUUGUAAAGCACUUUCAGCGAGGAGGAAGGGUUCAGUGUUAAUAGCACUGUGCAUUGACGUUACUCGCAGAAGAAGCACCGGCUAACUCCGUGCCAGCAGCCGCGGUAAUACGGAGGGUGCAAGCGUUAAUCGGAAUUACUGGGCGUAAAGCGCACGCAGGCGGUUUGUUAAGUCAGAUGUGAAAUCCCCGAGCUUAACUUGGGAACUGCAUUUGAAACUGGCAAGCUAGAGUCUUGUAGAGGGGGGUAGAAUUCCAGGUGUAGCGGUGAAAUGCGUAGAGAUCU